AGCUGGAGCUGAUUUUCUGGCA
rnacentral:miRNA from 1 species